GGGCUCACACAAGCGGUGGAGCAUGUGGAUCAAUUCGAAGCAACGCGAAGAACCUUACCUGGGUUUGACAUGCACGGAUGCUCUCUUGGAAACAGGAGUAGGCUGCCUUCGGGUGAAACGUGCACAGGUGCUGCAUGGCUGUCGUCAGCUCGUGCUGUGAAGUGUCGGGUUAAGUCCCUUAACGAGCGAAACCCCUGUCGCUAGUUGCCAGCGGGUCAUGCCGGGAACUCUAGCGAGACUGCCGGCGUUAAGCCGGAGGAAGGUGGGGAUGACGUCAAGUCAUCAUGGCCUUUAUGCCCAGGGUGUCACACGUGCUACAAUGGGGUGUACAGAGCGACGCAAGACCGCGAGGUGGAGCAAAUCGCAGAAAACAUCCCUCAGUUCGGAUUGAGGUCUGCAACCCGACCUCAUGAAGCCGGAAUCGCUAGUAAUCGCGCAUCAGCCAUGGCGCGGUGAAUGAGUUCCUGAGCCUU
rnacentral:rRNA from 1 species